UUAUGGAACAUAACACCGGUAGCCAAAACUAAGGGGGCAAAGGUGGAACAAAACACCAGGCUAGAAAGGCCGAGCCUUCCACCUUUUACCAAGUAUAUAGGUGCAUUUGAUUAAAUAGCAUUAAUAGGGUGAUAUAACAAGGAACCCAUGUUAACACAUGGAAGCAACUGCACCUGGACUAGCAACGCGAACAACAUGGUUAAGCAAGCAGUAAC
rnacentral:lncRNA from 1 species